rnacentral:rRNA from 1 species
CCUACGGGAGGCAGCAGUGGGGAAUAUUGCACAAUGGGGGAAACCCUGAUGCAGCGACGCCGCGUGAGUGAAGAAGUAUUUCGGUAUGUAAAGCUCUAUCAGCAGGGAAGAAAAUGACGGUACCUGACUAAGAAGCCCCGGCUAACUACGUGCCAGCAGCCGCGGUAAUACGUAGGGGGCAAGCGUUAUCCGGAUUUACUGGGUGGAAAGGGAGCGUAGACGGCCAGACAAGACAGAAGGGAAAGCCCAGGGCGCAACCCUGGGACUGCGUUUGAAACUGGCUGGCUGGAGUUGAGGAGAGGUAAGCGGAAGUCCUAGUGUAGCGGUGAAAUGCGUAGAUAUUAGGAGGAACACCAGUGGCGAAGGCGGCUUACUGGACUGUAACUGACGUUGAGGCUCGAAAGCGUGGGGAGCAAACAGGAUUAGAUACCCGUGUAGUC